AACGAACGCUGGCGGCAUGCCUAACACAUGCAAGUCGAACGAGACCUUCGGGUCUAGUGGCGCACGGGUGCGUAACGCGUGGGAACCUGCCCUUAGGUUCGGAAUAACUCCCCGAAAGGGGUGCUAAUACCGGAUAAUGUCUUCGGACCAAAGAUUUAUCGCCUUUGGAUGGGCCCGCGUUGGAUUCGCUAGUUGGUAGGGUAAAAGCCUAGCAAGGCGACGAUCCAUAGCUGGUCUGAGAGGAUGAUCAGCCACACUGGGGCUGAGACACGGCCCAGACUCGUACGGGAGGCAGCAGUGGGGAAUAUUGGACAAGGGGCGAAAGCCUGAUCCAGCAAUGCCGCGGGAGUGAUGAAGGCCUUAGGGUUGUAAAGCUCUUUUACCCGGGAUGAUAAUGACAGUACCGGGAGAAUAAGCUCCGGCUAACUCCGUG
rnacentral:rRNA from 1 species